AUUUUUCAGGUGCUUUAAAGCCAAAGAGAUAGUAUGGAGCCAAAUAAAUUCGAUACACUAGAAAGACAGAGAAAACAACUCACUCAUAACCAAUUGCACUGAAGAACAUGGCUAAUCUUGGUCCGGUGAUACUUAUAACUGAAGGAGCCAACCACAAUGUUAUGGCAAAUACAGCAUAAACGAUACUUUGAGCAAUGUAGCCAUCCCCAUGAAAAGAUGGAACGUCCUUUUGUAGGCUCAGUAGGAAAGUUUUCUGCGAAGCAAAUAAAAUAUUAUUAGUCAUUUCA